rnacentral:tRNA from 1 species
AAGGAAGGAUAUGAAUCAAUAAGCACUGCUAAUUCUUACGCCCCACGGUUAAAAUCCGCGGCUUCCUUA